rnacentral:rRNA from 1 species
CAGUCGCCGCGGUAAUACAGAGGGUGCAAGCGUUAAUCGGAAUUACUGGGCGUAAAGCGCGCGUAGGUGGUUUGUUAAGUUGGAUGUGAAAGCCCCGGGCUCAACCUGGGAACUGCAUCCAAAACUGGCAAGCUAGAGUACGGUAGAGGGUGGUGGAAUUUCCUGUGUAGCGGUGAAAUGCGUAGAUAUAGGAAGGAACACCAGUUGCGAAGGCGACCACCUGGACUGAUACUGACACUGAGGUGCGAAAGCGUGGGGAGCAAACAGGAUUAGAUACCCCUGUAGUCCCUGUCUCUUAUAC